GACGAACGCUGGCGGCGUGCCUAAUACAUGCAAGUAGAACGCUGAAGAGAGGAGCUUGCUCUUCUUGGAAGAGUUGCGAACGGGUGAGUAACGCGUAGGUAACCUGCCUUGUAGCGGGGGAUAACUAUUGGAAACGAUAGCUAAUACCGCAUAACAAUGGGUGACCCAUGUCAUUCAUUUGAAAGGGGCAACUGCUCCACUACAAGAUGGACCUGCGUUGUAUUAGCUAGUAGGUGAGGUAACGGCUCACCUAGGCGACGAUACAUAGCCGACCUGAGAGGGUGAUCGGCCACACUGGGACUGAGACACGGCCCAGACUCCUACGGGAGGCAGCAGUAGGGAAUCUUCGGCAAUGGGGGCAACCCUGACCGAGCAACGCCGCGUGAGUGAAGAAGGUUUUCGGAUCGUAAAGCUCUGUUGUAAGUCAAGAACGAGUGUGAGAGUGGAAAGUUCACACUGUGACGGUAGCUUACCAGAAAGGGACGGCUAACUACGUGCCAGCAGCCGCGGUAAUACGUAGGUCCCGAGCGUUGUCCGGAUUUAUUGGGCGUAAAGCGAGCGCAGGCGGUUUGAUAAGUCUGAGGUUAAAGGCUGUGGCUCAACCAUAGUUCGCUUUGGAAACUGUCAAACUUGAGUGCAGAAGGGGAGAGUGGAAUUCCAUGUGUAGCGGUGAAAUGCGUAGAUAUAUGGAGGAACACCGGUGGCGAAAGCGGCUCUCUGGUCUGUAACUGACGCUGAGGCUCGAAAGCGUGGGGAGCGAACAGG
rnacentral:rRNA from 1 species